rnacentral:rRNA from 1 species
AACCUGGUUGAUCCUGCCAGUAGUCAUAUGCUUGUCUCAAAGAUUAAGCCAUGCAUGUGUAAGCACACACUGUUUUAAAAGUGAAGCCGCGAAUGGCUCAUUACAACAGCCACAGUUUAUUAGAACUUAUAAUCAUGGAUAACUGUGGUAAUUCUAGAGCUAAUACACGCACAAAAACUUCAACUGAAUUGGUUGAAGUGCUUUUAUUAGAACAAAAACCGAACGGCGUUUGGCGAAUGUUGAACGUCGAAACUGUUUGGUGAAUCUGAAUAACUAUUUCUGAUCGCAUGGUCUAGCACCGGCGACAUCACUUUCAAGUGUCUGCCUUAUCAACCUUCGAUGGUAGUCUAUGCGACUACCAUGGUGAUAACGGGUAACGGAGAAUCAGGGUUCGACUCCGGAGAGGGAGCCUGAGAAACGGCUACCACAUCCAAGGAAGGCAGCAGGCGCGCAAAUUACCCACUCCCAGCUUGGGGAGGUAGUGACGAAAAAUAACGAGACGAUUCUCGUUUGAGAAACGUUAUCGAAAUGAGUACGCUUUACACACGCUAACGAGUAGCAAUUGGAGGGCAAGUCUGGUGCCAGCAGCCGCGGUAAUUCCAGCUCCAAUAGCGUAUAUUAAAGUUGCUGCGGUUAAAACGCUCGUAGUUGAAUUGUGGUCUUAGACAACAGUCCCCCUACAUAGGUGUGGCACGGUUGCUCGAGAUCUUCAUUCGUGGUUGCUGUUGUUGCUCUUCAUUGAGUGUCAAUGGUGCCUCGAGAUUUUACUUUGAAAAAAUUAGAGUGCUCAAAGCAGGUUGUGAUGCCUGAAUAAUGGUGCAUGGAAUAAUAGAAUACGAUCUCGGUUCUAUUUUGUUGGUUUUCGAACCGGAGAUAAUGAUUGAAAGGAACAGACGGGGGCAUUCGUAUUGCUGCGUUAGAGGUGAAAUUCUUGGAUCGCAGCAAGAUGAACAAUUGCGAAAGCAUUUGCCAAGAAUGUUUUCAUUAAUCAAGAACGAAAGUUAGAGGUUCGAAGGCGAUCAGAUACCGCCCUAGUUCUAACGGUAAACUAUGCCAACCAGCGAUUCGCCGAAGUUCAUUUAAGACUCGGCGAGCAGCUUCCGGGAAACCAAAGUGUUUCGGUUCCGGGGGAAGUAUGGUUGCAAAGCUGAAACUUAAAGGAAUUGACGGAAGGGCACCACCAGGAGUGGAGCCUGCGGCUUAAUUUGACUCAACACGGGAAAACCCACCCGGCCCGGACACUGGAAGGAUUGACAGAUUGACAGCUCUUUCUUGAUUCAGUGGGUAGUGGUGCAUGGCCGUUCUUAGUUGGUGGAGCGAUUUGUCUGGUUAAUUCCGAUAACGAACGAGGCUCUACCCUAUUAAAUAGUGACAGUAUUGUAUUUAUUGUGCUGAUCACUUCUUAGAGGGACUGGCAAAUUGAAAGCUGCACGAAAAAGAGCAAUAACAGGUCUGUGAUGCCCUUCGAUGUCCGGGGCUGCACGCGCGCUACAAUGAAAGCGUCAACGUGAGUUACGUCCUUACCUGAAAAGGUUUGGCAAUCGAAUGAAACGUUUUCUUGAAUGGAAUAGGGAAUUGCAAUUGUUUCCCUUGAACGAGGAAUUCCCAGUAAGCGUGAGUCAUUAGCUCGCGUUGAUUACGUCCCUGCCCUUUGUACACACCGCCCGUCGCUACUACCGAUUGGAUGAUUUAGUGAGGUGUUUUGACUGGCGCCAGUAGUCGGAUGUAUUCGGCUUCGCGCCGGGAAAUUUCCCAAACCAAAUCAUCUAGAGGAAGUAAAAGUCGUAACAAGGUUUCCGUAGGUGAACCUGCGGAAGGAUCAUUG